ACUGCCAUGUGUUACUAAUAUGCAAUAAUUAUACUUAUUUACAGUGAGCUAUUUUCAUUAUUUAUAUAAUUAUAAGUAUUUUUAUUACAUAAUUAUGAUGUAGAUUUUCUAAUUUAUAUAUAAUUUAAAUGGUUUUAUAUUUCAGAGAUAUUUCGGGCAUAACAAUAAUGCAUAUCCAGAGUAAAGAUUCUUCAAUAAUAAAGUCAACGUAAUAAAUUAAAAUUAUUUUAUAUAAAUUAGAUUUCUUUGAAUAUUUACACAUAGUAACUUUUAAAUUAAUUAGUAAUAAUCGAUUUUUUCUCGAUGUUUAUGGAAAAUAAUCGAUUGUUAUUUUAUACUAUUGCGAAUUAAUUGAUUGUCUACGAUCGAUCAUUUAAAGAGUCGAUUAUUUAGCAAUCGAUUAUUUUUUUUAACAUCGCCCAUCUCUAAUUGGGUGCGUUUUGCAUUAUUGAAUUAGGGGUGCGUUCCGUUUCACGCAUAGACCGCAUGAGACAACGCCUGCGUUCAAAAAUAGCUUUAGCUGGUGUUGGGGAAAAAAAGAUUAAGUUGGUAGUAUUGAGAAUUCCCAACGAGGUUGUUAUGCUGAGUCAGUUCAAUACUACCCUAGUAGUCUGUACUUUGUCUCAUUUAAAUGGACCUUAAUUCUUGUUCUGCGGGUAUGCAUAAGUAUCAGGCCUCUGGCACUCGCUUAUAUUUUCAAGCAAAAAUGUGACCUCCUUAUUGUUCGAGAUCCGCUAGGGGCGCUGGUAGUAACAUAGCCCUCUAACCUAUUGCAGCGUGGUGCAACGCGUGAACACACGCAAGUGAUAAAUAGUGAUAGCAAGUGAUAGUGAUAAAUAUAUCUUGAUAAAUAGUGAACGUUUACAGAAACUAGUAAAACGAGAAGCAUGCCACAUUGCAUAGCUCCGGGAUGUACUUCCAAAUAUAAAUCGAAUUCAGAGAAAGUACAUUUUUUUAUUGUGCCAAAGGACGAAAAUAUAAGAAAAUUAUGGCAAGAUGCAAUUCGAAGAAAAAACUAUAGUGCGGGCAGGACAAUCUCUGUGUGAAAAACAUUUUAUGGCCCAAGAUAUAUUGUGGAAGCGUGAACUAACAGGUCCUGAUGGACAAGUACUCGGCGUUUCAUAUUAUAAAUAACCAAGGUUGCGGAAAGGCACCGUACCGUCACAAUUUCAUGGGCAGAAAUUACUGUGGAUAACACACUACUUCACAAACAGACACAAAUGGUACAUGAAAUAGUACAACAGUGCAAAGAAGAAAAUGCACAAGAAAUAGUAUAAAUAAGCCUAAAUUCUCAUUUAUAGAUUUGAUAGCUUGUACUACAUUGCAAUUACCAGUAAAUUGGUCUAGAUGUACUUUCAUCUGUAAUGGAACUAAAAUUGAAUCAUUUGUCAUGGUACUAAUGUAUAAAAAUAGAAAACAGUUUUGUCACUAAAAAUAUCAAAGAACUUAUUGUACAAGAAAACUUAUAUUUAACUAAUAAACUUAUAUCUAACUUAUAUCUACACUAUUUAUACAUUUGUA